AAAUGAAUAGACGGGGGCCCGCACAAGCAGUGGAGUAUGUGGUUUAAUUCGACGCAACGCGAAGAACCUUACCAGGGCUUGACAUAUACAUGAAAGUCUAAGAGAUUAGACCCCUCUUCGGAGCGUGUAUACAGGUGGUGCAUGGUUGUCGUCAGCUCGUGUCGUGAGAUGUUGGGUUAAGUCCCGCAACGAGCGCAACCCCUGUUCUUAGUUACCAGCGAGUUAAGUCGGGAACUCUAAGAAGACUGCCGGUGAUAAAUCGGAGGAAGGUGGGGACGACGUCAAAUCAUCAUGCCCUUUAUGUCCUGGGCUACACACGUACUACAAUGGCUGUAACAAAGGGAAGCUAAGCCGCGAGGUGGAGCAAAACCCAAAAAAGCAGUCUCAGUUCGGAUUGAAGGCUGAAAUUCGCCUUCAUGAAGCCGGAAUUGCUAGUAAUGGCAGGUCAGCAUACUGCCGUGAAUACGUUCCCGGGCCUUGUACACACCGCCCGU
rnacentral:rRNA from 1 species